rnacentral:lncRNA from 1 species
CAUCCCGCAGACACGGCUUCAUCCCUGGUAGUAAGAGAGCUGAGAAACCACUCUUUCCCGGAGAGAGACACAGGUGGCAAAAUAAAAGAAAAACUCUUACCAUCUCUUGGAUCUGCAGCACAAGUUCUGAAAAUGCAGCCAACACCAGAGUGGCCCAGGAGGUGAGCACGGGGCUCUGAAGCCAGAUUUGCCAGAGUUCCAAUCACAGCCCCCAGCCAUCAGAGAGACAGACAGAGACAGACAAACAGGCAGAGCCGCAGUGCACACGGUCCGUGUGUCGGAGAGGCCGCCAGGAGACUCACCGCAGCAAUGCUACGUGAAUGCAGAGGGCUGGAGGUGAUGUGACUACUCACUUGCUCGGCUAACAGCUGCC